GAUGAACGCUGGCGGCGUGCCUAACACAUGCAAGUCGAGCGAACAGACGAGGAGCUUGCUCCUCUGACGUUAGCGGCGGACGGGUGAGUAACACGUGGAUAACCUCCUUAUAUUACUGGGAUAACUUCGGGAAACCGGCGAUAAUACCAGAUAAUAUCUUGAACCGCAUGGUUCAAUAGUGAAUGACGGUUUUGGUGUCACUUAUAGAUGGAUCCGCGCCGCAUUAGCUAGUUGGUAAGGUAACGGCUUACCAAGGCAACGAUGCGUAGCCGACCUGAGAGGGUGAUCGGCCACACUGGAACUGAGACACGGUCCAGACUCCUACGGGAGGCAGCAGUAGGGAAUCUUCCGCAAUGGGCGAAAGCCUGACGGAGCAACGCCGCGUGAGUGAUGAAGGUCUUCGGAUCGUAAAACUCUGUUAUUAGGGAAGAACAAAUGUGUAAGUAACUAUGCACGUCUUGACGGUACCUAAUCAGAAAGCAACGGCUAACUACGUG
rnacentral:rRNA from 1 species